rnacentral:rRNA from 1 species
AACGAACGUUGGCGGCAUGGAUUAGGCAUGCAAGUCGAGCGAGAAGAGUUUUGAAGCUUGCUUUAGAACUCGGACAGCGGCGAAAGGGAGAGUAACGCGUAGUUAUGUGCCCUAGGGUCCGGAAUAGCCACGGGAAACUGUGGGUAAUGCCGGAUAACAUCCCCGGAUCAAAGGUGUGAUUCCGCCCUAGGAGCAGACUGCGUCCUACUAGCUAGUUGGUGGGGUAAUGGCCCACCAAGGCAAUGAUGGGUAGCGGGUGUGAGAGCAUGACCCGGCUCACUGGGACUGAGACACUGCCCAGACACCUACGGGUGGCUGCAGUCGAGAAUCUUCGGCAAUGGGCGAAAGCCUGACCGAGCGAUGCCGCGUGCGGGAUGAAGGCCCUCGGGUUGUAAACCGCUGUCGUAGGGGAGGAAGGUUCCGUGAAGAGCGGAAUUUGACCUAUCCUAGGAGGAAGUACGGGCUAAGUUCGUGCCAGCCGCCGCGGUAAGAC